UACGUAGGGUGCGAGCGUUAAUCGGAAUUACUGGGCGUAAAGCGUGCGCAGGCGGUUCGGUCAGUUAGGGGUGAAAUCCCAGAGCUCAACUCUGGAACUGCCUUUAAUACUGCCGAUCUGGAGUCCGGAAGAGGUGAGUGGAAUUCCGAGUGUAGAGGUGAAAUUCGUAGAUAUUCGGAGGAACACCAGUGGCGAAGGCGGCUCACUGGUCCGGUACUGACGCUGAGGUGCGAAAGCGUGGGGAGCAAACAGG
rnacentral:rRNA from 1 species